AAAGUGGACGUUUUCUACCUCUGUAAAUCUGAACCUUCGCUUUCGAAUAAAAGCUCACAAGCUUCGUUAUCGGAUGAAGCAGUGUUCGUUUCACUGUCUGUCAGCCAUCGGGAUGUUUCUGCUUUUCCUAAAAUGUACAUCGCACGCCGAGAAAUGCCGACAAAAGCAGAGUA